UCCGGCGGUUAUUGGGAGGGGGACACACCCGUUCCCAUUCCGAACACGGAAGUUAAGCCCCUCACCGUCGAUGGUACUGCCCUGGCAACGGGGUGGGAGAGUAGAUCGCUGCCGGGA
rnacentral:rRNA from 2 species